AGAGUUUGAUCCUGGCUCAGGAUGAACGCUAGCUACAGGCUUAACACAUGCAAGUCGAGGGGAAACGACAUCGAAAGCUUGCUUUUUGAUGGGCGUCGACCGGUGCACGGGUGAGUAACGCGUAUCCAACCUGCCCACCACUUGGGGAUAACCUUGCGAAAGUAGGACUAAUACCCAAUGAUAUCUCUAGAAGACAUCUGAAAGAGAUUAAAGAUUUAUCGGUGAUGGAUGGGGAUGCGUCUGAUUAGCUUGUUGGCGGGGUAACGGCCCACCAAGGCAACGAUCAGUAGGGGUUCUGAGAAGAAGGUCCCCCACAUUGGAACUGAGACACGGUCCAAACUCCUACGGGAGGCAGCA
rnacentral:rRNA from 1 species